GACAUGUGGAGCUUCUAGAAGUGAGAAUGCCGGUAUGAGUAACGAAAGACAGGUGAGAAUCCUGUCCGCCGCAAGACUAAGGUUUCCUGGGGCAGGCUCGUCCGCCCAGGGUAAGUCGGGACCUAAGGCGAGGCCGAGAGGCGUAGUCGAUGGACAACAGGUUGAAAUUCCUGUACUGCACCGAAUCGUUAUGAGCGAUGGAGGGACGCAGGAGGCUAGCAGCGCGUGGUGCUGGAUACCACGUUCAAGCGUCAAGUCUGAGAGCGAGUCAAAUGCUUGCUCUCAUAAGGACAAGGCGUGAUGAGGAGCGAAAUUAAAGUAGCGAAGGCUGCGACGUCACACUGCCGAGAAAAGCUUCUAGCCAGAGACGGUGCACCCGUACCGCAAACCGACACAGGUAGUCGAGGAGAGUAUCCUCAGGUGAGCGAGAGAACUCUCGUUAAGGAACUCGGCAAAAUGGCCCCGUAACUUCGGGAGAAGGGGCGCUGGUCGCAAGAUCAGCCGCAGUGAAAAGGCCCAAGCAACUGUUUAUCAAAAACACAGGCAUCUGCAAAAUCGUAAGAUGAAGUAUAGGUGCUGACACCUGCCCGGUGCUGGAAGGUUAAGAGGAGAGCUUAGCGCAAGCGAAGGUUUGAAUUGAAGCCCCAGUAAACGGCGGCCGUAACUAUAACGGUCCUAAGGUAGCGAAAUUCCUUGUCGGGUAAGUUCCGACCUGCACGAAAGGUGUAAUGAUUUGGGCACUGUCUCAACGAGAGACUCGGUGAAAUUAUAAUACCCGUGAAGAUGCGGGUUACCCGCGACAGGACGGAAAGACCCCAUGGAGCUUUACUGCAGUUUAAUAUUGGGUAUCUGUCAAGCAUGUACAGGAUAGGUAGGAGCCGGAGAAGAUAGGACGCCAGUCUUAUCAGAGGCGCUGUUGGGAUACUACCCUUGCUUGACGGAUGCUCUAACUCAGGCCUGUGAUCCAGGCCGAGGACAGUGUUUGACGGGCAGUUUGACUGGGGCGGUCGCCUCCUAAAGUGUAACGGAGGCGCCCAAAGGUUCCCUCAGAAUGGUUGGAAAUCAUUCGCAGAGUGUAAAGGUAAAAGGGAGCUUGACUGCGAGAGAGACAACUCGAGCAGGUACGAAAGUAGGGCUUAGUGAUCUGGUGGUACCGUAUGGAAGGGCCAUCACUCAACGGAUAAAAGCUACCCUGGGGAUAACAGGCUUAUCUCCCCCAAGAGUUCACAUCGACGGGGAGGUUUGGCACCUCGAUGUCGGCUCGUCGCAUCCUGGGGCUGAAGUCGGUCCCAAGGGUUGGGCUGUUCGCCCAUUAAAGCGGCACGCGAGCUGGGUUCAGAACGUCGUGAGACAGUUCGGUCCCUAUCCGUCGUGGGCGUAGGAAAUUUGAGAGGAGCUGUCCUUAGUACGAGAGGACCGGGAUGGACGCACCGCUGGUGUACCAGUUGUCUUGCCAAAGGCAUCGCUGGGUAGCUAUGUGCGGACGGGAUAAGCGCUGAAAGCAUCUAAGUGCGAAGCCCCCCUCAAGAUGAGAUUUCCCAUUUCUUCAAGAAAGUAAGACACCUCAGAGACGAUGAGGUAGAUAGGCCGGGAGUGGAAGAGCCGUGAGGCUUGGAGCGGACCGGUACUAAUCAGUCGAGGACUUGACCAAAA
rnacentral:rRNA from 1 species